GGAAUAGAAAACAACAGAGAUAAGGUCUCCUAGCAGCACAGUCUCAGCUCAGGGCUCUGGGGAUGGGCCUCCCCUCCUGCCGGAGAGGCCAUCCCAGGAGGCUGACUGCUCACACCUGGGCAGCAUUCCUGGCUUCAUCCCCUCCUGUCUGAGUCUUGGCUCUAUUCACUCUCCCCAGAUGCUCCACCAGAAUGAAGGGAAGGCCCUGGAAGGCCUUGAACCCUGCCACCUCCGCCCCUCCUGGGAUAAGGUUCCAACACCCCACGGAUGGGCCCAGGGCCCCCCUGCAACUUCUCCACCGCCGCCCACCGGUGCAACGUGGGUGGCCUACCGGCUGCAGUGAUCAUCAUCCCAACCCUGCUCUCCUCGUCGUCUCUCCUGAUCAUCAGCUUCAUCUUAUGGAAAACUUGCCGCCGGUUGUCCCGGGUCACCCAGCCCCGCCUGCCAUCCACAUGAGGGGCCCAGGAAUCUGAAUUGUGGAAUGUGACACCCAGAAAUGGAGCUGAGUUAUAUUAAUGCCUGGGAACCUCUGCUGCUGAGGCCCCUGGAGCUACCCUGCUCCUUUCAAAGACCCAUUCAUCAAUAAUCCUUUUGAUUCUGAAAGUCCUUGCAAUCAAUUCCCCAAACUUUUAAUUUUCAUUUCUUUCAGAAUCAGUUUGUUACUUUUAAAGAAAAAACUUUGAAAUUAACAGUGAAGACAGAUGAAGCUGGUGGGGUAUACAGUCAGCAUGGUCCAGUGUAUGUAUAAUAGGACCCACAUAUGUAAUUUUGCAUUUUCUAGUAGCCACAUUUUAAAAAUUGAAGUUAAUGAAAUUAAUAUUAACAAUGUUUCAUUUCACCCAAUAUAGAUAAGUAUUAUAUUUCAGUAUCUAGUCAAAAUGUUUAAAUUGCUAAUGAGAUGUUUUACAUUCUUCUCUUUGAACCAUGUCUUUGAAAUGUGGGGUGUAUUUUACACAUAUAGCAUAUCUCAAAUAAGACUGGCCACACUUUGAGUGCUCCAUAGCCACAUGAGGCUGGUCGCUUGCAUAAUGGAUAGCACAGAUUAAGAUAUUCAAGGUGAUGAAGGAUCUGCUAAGAAGUCCUGGCCUCAUUCUAAAGAGAUUCAUCCCCAGAAGAGAUUCAAAUCUAGAAGUAACAUGAUAAAAUAUAUAUAUAACUUUAGGAAGAUCACUCUGACUUCCACUUAUAGAAUGGACAGGAAAGGAACUGAAGCUUGAGUUAGGGAGAUCAGUUAGGAGGAGCUGAAGAGAGAAUGAGAGGUAAAGAUGUUGAUGAUAGACUUUGGUGGCAGCAGCUGAAAUAUUAAGAUGCAGUCCUUCCCAUCACUCCAUCUCACAUAUCUUCCCCUAUUCUCUCUGGCAACCAAAGAGGCAAAUCUAUGAUCUUUAAGGCAUAGUCCCUGGCAGUUAUGCCCACAAAGCGGUCCACAAUAGGAGAUCAAUCAACAGAUGUGUCUUUCCUCCCUCAAUGAAAUGUCCUCUGAAUGCUCCUGCCCGCACCUAACUGCUGAUACUGAAAUUUGAAAGACAGGAAUAUUGGCCCAAUCUAUGGUAAACUGGAGAUCCUGUCCUAGGAAUUUUCCAGCAACUCUAAGAAGAGCUUUCUGCUGCAUGGGUGAAGGUGGAAAGUUAUAUUUAACCAGAGUUGUGGUUUUGCUUAGAGAGUAUACAUACAACAAAUUAAAAAGAGGCAAGGAAGUAGUGGGUGAAUACAAGGGAAUGAUAAUAAAAAUAACUAUGGAAUUUAAGCCAGCAUGGGAAUAUUUAAGAGAUAUUCAUAAAAAUUCCAGUUCUCCAACCCCACCCCCUGCUUCUGGACCCUGGGAAGAAAUGCACUUUUCUGUCCAUUUGAGGCUAGGUGUGGCCAUGUGACUAGUUCUGGCCAAUUAGAUUACAGACUCUAGAUGGAGCAUUUAAUUGCCAAGACCCUCCAGUUUCUCUUUUCCCUCUCAUAUACUGACCAAUGUUAUUUGAAAUGGUGGCUUUUCCAUCAGCCUGGGUUUCUCACUAUGAAAAGCAGAGUCCUCUGUUUGUUGACCGACAAUGUUCAAGUUGUGUGAGCAGGAAAUAAAUCUUUCUUCACUAUAUUAAAGCUUAAAAUGCAAGCCUUAAAUAUAAACCUGAAAUAUUGGGAUUGUUUUUUACUACAGCACCACAUAGCCUAGCCUGACUGAUAUAACCAGAAGAGAGGACAUUAAUAGGGAGGGAGAAAAUGAAAAAUGUAAGAUUAAUAGAUUUCAGUUCCUGGCACUGAAGAUUGAUGAAGUCCC
ensembl:lncRNA